rnacentral:lncRNA from 1 species
UUUUACGUGAUAAUGCAUGUUUUAUGAUCAUAUAUGAACUUAUUAAUUUGUAUGUGAAAUUUAAAUAAUUUAAUGCUUGAAAUAAAUGUUGAUAUGUGAUGUAAUUGACGGUGGAAAAAUGAUUAAACAUGAAAUGAUAUAUAGGCAUGAGAAAUAUGUAUUCCUAUUGGCAUGCAUAAUUCAUAAAUUAUUUUGUGAUGUUUUUUAUUUAUGAAGGGUUUUUGUUUCUCGCCCAUUCUGGUAUGAAAAGACGUGAGAGGACUACUCCCUAUGGAUGACAGUGUACCAUCUGACGAGAGUGUAGGAAUCACCUUUGGUAAAGUAUGGCUAUGGCGAUAGUUAAUAUGUAUGAUCACUGUGAUUGGCACGACCAUGGUAAUAGAUUGUGUCAUGAUUUGGC